rnacentral:rRNA from 1 species
AGAUUAAGUUAUUAAGGGCGCACGGUGGAUGCCUUGGCACUAGAAGCCGAUGAAGGACGUUACUAACGACGAUAUGCUUUGGGGAGCUGUAAGUAAGCUUUGAUCCAGAGAUUUCCGAAUGGGGAAACCCAGCAUGAGUUAUGUCAUGUUAUCGAUAUGUGAAUACAUAGCAUAUCAGAAGGCACACCCGGAGAACUGAAACAUCUUAGUACCCGGAGGAAGAGAAAGAAAAUUCGAUUCCCUUAGUAGCGGCGAGCGAAACGGGAAGAGCCCAAACCAACAAGCUUGCUUGUUGGGGUUGUAGGACACUCUAUACGGAGUUACAAAGGACGACAUUAGACGAAUCAUCUGGAAAGAUGAAUCAAAGAAGGUAAUAAUCCUGUAGUCGAAAAUGUUGUCUCUCUUGAGUGGAUCCUGAGUACGACGGAGCACGUGAAAUUCCGUUGGAAUCUGGGAGGACCAUCUCCUAAGGCUAAAUACUCUCUAGUGACCGAUAGUGAACCAGUACCGUGAGGGAAAGGUGAAAAGCACCCCGGAAGGGGAGUGAAAUAGAACCUGAAACCGUGUGCUUACAAGUAGUCAGAGCCCGUUAAUGGGUGAUGGCGUGCCUUUUGUAGAAUGAACCGGCGAGUUACGAUUUGAUGCAAGGUUAAGCAGUAAAUGUGGAGCCGUAGCGAAAGCGAGUCUGAAUAGGGCGUUUAGUAUUUGGUCGUAGACCCGAAACCAGGUGAUCUACCCUUGGUCAGGUUGAAGUUCAGGUAACACUGAAUGGAGGACCGAACCGACUUACGUUGAAAAGUGAGCGGAUGAACUGAGGGUAGCGGAGAAAUUCCAAUCGAACCUGGAGAUAGCUGGUUCUCUCCGAAAUAGCUUUAGGGCUAGCCUCAAGUGAUGAUUAUUGGAGGUAGAGCACUGUUUGGACGAGGGGCCCCUCUCGGGUUACCGAAUUCAGACAAACUCCGAAUGCCAAUUAAUUUAACUUGGGAGUCAGAACAUGGGUGAUAAGGUCCGUGUUCGAAAGGGAAACAGCCCAGACCACCAGCUAAGGUCCCAAAAUAUAUGUUAAGUGGAAAAGGAUGUGGCGUUGCCCAGACAACUAGGAUGUUGGCUUAGAAGCAGCCAUCAUUUAAAGAGUGCGUAAUAGCUCACUAGUCGAGUGACACUGCGCCGAAAAUGUACCGGGGCUAAACAUAUUACCGAAGCUGUGGAUUGUCCUUUGGACAAUGGUAGGAGAGCGUUCUAAGGGCGUUGAAGCAUGAUCGUAAGGACAUGUGGAGCGCUUAGAAGUGAGAAUGCCGGUGUGAGUAGCGAAAGACGGGUGAGAAUCCCGUCCACCGAUUGACUAAGGUUUCCAGAGGAAGGCUCGUCCGCUCUGGGUUAGUCGGGUCCUAAGCUGAGGCCGACAGGCGUAGGCGAUGGAUAACAGGUUGAUAUUCCUGUACCACCUAUAAUCGUUUUAAUCGAUGGGGGGACGCAGUAGGAUAGGCGAAGCGUGCGAUUGGAUUGCACGUCUAAGCAGUAAGGCUGAGUAUUAGGCAAAUCCGGUACUCAUUAAGGCUGAGCUGUGAUGGGGAGAAGACAUUGUGUCUUCGAGUCGUUGAUUUCACACUGCCGAGAAAAGCCUCUAGAUAGAAAAUAGGUGCCCGUACCGCAAACCGACACAGGUAGUCAAGAUGAGAAUUCUAAGGUGAGCGAGCGAACUCUCGUUAAGGAACUCGGCAAAAUGACCCCGUAACUUCGGGAGAAGGGGUGCUCUUUAGGGUUAACGCCCAGAAGAGCCGCAGUGAAUAGGCCCAAGCGACUGUUUAUCAAAAACACAGGUCUCUGCUAAACCGUAAGGUGAUGUAUAGGGGCUGACGCCUGCCCGGUGCUGGAAGGUUAAGAGGAGUGGUUAGCUUCUGCGAAGCUACGAAUCGAAGCCCCAGUAAACGGCGGCCGUAACUAUAACGGUCCUAAGGUAGCGAAAUUCCUUGUCGGGUAAGUUCCGACCCGCACGAAAGGCGUAACGAUUUGGGCACUGUCUCAACGAGAGACUCGGUGAAAUCAUAGUACCUGUGAAGAUGCAGGUUACCCGCGACAGGACGGAAAGACCCCGUGGAGCUUUACUGUAGCCUGAUAUUGAAAUUCGGCACAGCUUGUACAGGAUAGGUAGGAGCCUUUGAAACGUGAGCGCUAGCUUACGUGGAGGCGCUGGUGGGAUACUACCCUAGCUGUGUUGGCUUUCUAACCCGCACCACUUAUCGUGGUGGGAGACAGUGUCAGGCGGGCAGUUUGACUGGGGCGGUCGCCUCCUAAAAGGUAACGGAGGCGCUCAAAGGUUCCCUCAGAAUGGUUGGAAAUCAUUCAUAGAGUGUAAAGGCAUAAGGGAGCUUGACUGCGAGACCUACAAGUCGAGCAGGGUCGAAAGACGGACUUAGUGAUCCGGUGGUUCCGCAUGGAAGGGCCAUCGCUCAACGGAUAAAAGCUACCCCGGGGAUAACAGGCUUAUCUCCCCCAAGAGUUCACAUCGACGGGGAGGUUUGGCACCUCGAUGUCGGCUCAUCGCAUCCUGGGGCUGUAGUCGGUCCCAAGGGUUGGGCUGUUCGCCCAUUAAAGCGGUACGCGAGCUGGGUUCAGAACGUCGUGAGACAGUUCGGUCCCUAUCCGUCGUGGGCGUAGGAAAUUUGAGAGGAGCUGUCCUUAGUACGAGAGGAUCGGGAUGGACAUACCUCUGGUGUACCAGUUGUCGUGCCAACGGCAUAGCUGGGUAGCUAUGUGUGGACGGGAUAAGUGCUGAAAGCAUCUAAGCAUGAAGCCCCCCUCAAGAUGAGAUUUCCCAACUUCGGUUAUAAGAUCCCUCAAAGAUGAUGAGGUUAAUAGGUUCGAGGUGGAAGCAUGGUGACAUGUGGAGCUGACGAAUACUAAUCGAUCGAAGACUUAAUCAAAUU